GAUGAACGCUGACAGAAUGCUUAACACAUGCAAGUCUUUGGCGAAGCUGUGCUUGCACAGCCUAGCCAAGGCGGACGGGUGAGUAACGCGUAAGGAACUUGCCCUGCAGUCAGGGAUAACAGACGGAAACGACUGAUAAGACCUGGUAAAGUCAGGCGGACUCAUGUCCAGCCUGAUGAAAAGAGAUGCUGCAGGAGAGCCUUGCGUCCUAUUAGCUUGUUGGUGGGGUAACGGCCCACCAAGGCGAUGAUAGGUAGCCGGCCUGAGAGGGUAGACGGCCACAAGGGGACGGAGAUACGGCCCUUACUCCUACGGGAGGCAGCAGGGGGGAAUAUUGGACAAUGGGGACAACCCUGAUCAAGCAAUUCUGUGUGAACGAUGAAGGUUUUCGGAUUGUAAAGUGCUUUCAGCAGAGAAGAAAAAAAUGACGGUACCUGCAGAAGAAGCGACGGCUAAAUACGUG
rnacentral:rRNA from 1 species